GGGCAGCACAGGUAGCAAUACUGGGUGGCGACCGGCAAACGGGUGCGGAACACGUACGUAACCUUCCUUUAAGUGGGAGAUAGCCCGAAGAAAUUCGGAUUAAUACCCCAUAAGAUUGUGGAGUGGCAUCACUCAGCAAUUAAAGAAUUUCGCUUAAAGAUGGGCGUGCGGCUGAUUAGGUAGUUGGUGAGGUAACGGCUCACCAAGCCAACGAUCAGUAACUGGCGUGAGAGCGCGACCAGUCACACGGGCACUGAGACACGGGCCCGACUCCUACGGGAGGCAGCAGUAAGGAAUAUUGGUCAAUGGACGCAAGUCUGAACCAGCCAUGCCGCGUGAAGGAUGAAGGUCCUCUGGAUUGUAAACUUCUUUUAUAUGGGAAGAAACCACUUUUUUCUAAGGGUGUUGACGGUACCAUAGGAAUAAGCACCGGCUAACUCCGUGCCAGCAGCCGCGGUAAUACGGAGGGUGCAAGCGUUAUCCGGAUUCACUGGGUUUAAAGGGUGCGUAGGCGGAUUAGUAAGUCCGUGGUGAAAUCUCCGAGCUUAACUCGGAAACUGCCGUGGAUACUAUUAAUCUUGAAUACUGUGGAGGUUAGCGGAAUAUGUCAUGUAGCGGUGAAAUGCAUAGAUAUGACAUAGAACACCAAUUGCGAAGGCAGCUGGCUACACAGAGAUUGACGCUGAGGCACGAAAGGCGUGGGGAUCAAACAGGAUUAGAUACCCUGGUAGUCCACGCCCUAAACGAUGAUUACUCGACAUUUGCGAUAUACAGUAAGUGUCUGAGCGAAAGCAUUAAGUAAUCCACCUGGGAAGUACGACCGCA
rnacentral:rRNA from 1 species